CAGGGAGGCAGAGGCAGGAGAACCUUUGGGGCCUGAAGGCCAGCCUGUCUAACAAUUGGUAAAUGCCAGACAGAAGAGAAACCUUGUCUCAGGAAAGAACUAAGAAAGCUCUCUUCUUUCCCUCUUCAAGAUGAUGACAAAGAUGAGCGGGCAUCUAAGAUUCGCAGAGUGGAGCCAGGAGAAGCAGCCAAGAAGAAGAAGUAGAGAAUUGUGACUCCUGAGAUGUGUCGUUGAGUGGAGUGUUUGCUUUUGUGCGUUACUAUGACAGACAUCUCCAUGAACGUAUUUAUGUUAACGAACUAAUGAGUGUCGCCUCAAGACUUUCCACUGUAGAAUUCACUUUUUUUAUUUAAAACCUGUACGUAUUUACAACUCUAAUGGUGACCUGUGAUUGUGAACUGACAGUACUUGGAAGCAUUCUGGUUAUCACAAAAUUGGUGACAGGCUUUGAGAGUUUGUCACAUGGACAUGCCAAUGUUCUAUGAACCUUUUAUAAAGGAAUAUAUUUUUAAAGUAAAUAUAUUGUAUUGU
rnacentral:lncRNA from 1 species